AGUGUAAGAGUGAGUGUUGUAUCAAGUUGUGAGUAGGUGAAUAAAAGAUUUGAGUUCCCUUGUAGAGAGUUAGUCUCCUGUGUUGGUGUCGGUGUGAAGGUCUCCUCAGAGUAGUCUGGGUAUAAGGUCCACAGAAGAAGUUUUGUCACACCACUUUGGUGCCACUCCUAGGGAAAUAGUUGAAUGCUAACAAGACGUUCAAUGUCGAAACAAUAAAGCAAGUUACUAGAAUGCCAGGAUAUAAUAAAUUAACUGCCACUUGCCGCAAAAUUUGAAUCAAACUAACUAACAACUAUGGUUAAUAAUCAACCAAAGGCUCCAAUAAAUUAACUGAUCCUCACAACGCUCUGAAACUAAUCUCUACCAUAAAUUAGCUAAAGUCUACUUCAAAAGACCCGGUUAGUUUCUUCCUAUUUAUGUUCCUGUCCUAUUUAGGGAUUGCCUGCUGCCUGUCUAGAGUCGACUUACUUCAAGAAAGGUGCCCAGUGCGCGUUCUUCCACAUUUGUCCUUGGAAAGUUUUCGCUUAUAGUCAAGACUUCCUGCAACCUGUCACUCUGUAGAAA
rnacentral:lncRNA from 1 species